CGGGUGAGUAAUACUUAUCUUACUUGCCAAUUAGUGGGGGAUAACCAUGGGAAACCAUGGCUAAUACCGCAUUUGUUACUUCGGUAAUGAAAGAGAGUCGCAAGAUUCUCGCUAAUUGAUAGGGAUAAGUCGUAUUAGUUAGUUGGUGGGGUAAUGGCCUACCAAGACCAUGAUGCGUAGCCAGUCUGAGAGGAUGAAUGGCCACAAGGGAACUGAGACACGGUCCCU
rnacentral:rRNA from 1 species